UACGAAGGGGGCUAGCGUUGUUCGGAAUCACUGGGCGUAAAGGGCGCGUAGGCGGCGCGACAAGUCAGAUGUGAAAGCCCCGGGCUCAACCCGGGAAUUGCAUUUGAUACUGUCGUGCUCGAGUCCGGGAGAGGAUGGCGGAAUUCCCAGUGUAGAGGUGAAAUUCGUAGAUAUUGGCAAGAACACCAGUGGCGAAGGCGGCUCACUGGCCCGGUACUGACGCUGAGGUGCGAAAGCGUGGGGAGCAAACAGG
rnacentral:rRNA from 1 species